AUACGGAGAGUGCAAGCGUUAUCCGGAAUCAUUGGGUUUAAAGGGUCCGUAGGCGGACUAUUAAGUCAGAGGUGAAAUCCCACAGCUCAACUGUGGAACUGCCUUUGAUACUGGUAGUCUUGAGUUAUAUGGAAGUAGAUAGAAUGUGUAGUGUAGCGGUGAAAUGCAUAGAUAUUACACAGAAUACCGAUUGCGAAGGCAGUCUACUACGUAUAUACUGACGCUAAGGGACGAAAGCGUGGGGAGCGAACAGGAUUAGAUACCCCAGUAGUCC
rnacentral:rRNA from 1 species